AAAACAUGGUAUAACAAUACCAAAAAAAAUAUAAAUACUGAAGUUUGAACAUCUAAUCUGACAUCUAGUCCGAAAACCUCUAACUAAACUGAAUAAGGAGUUGAAGGAACAUGUCUCCAACUAAUUCCAUGAACUAAACAACUAAUCUGAAAUACUGUAAUAAAGUAAUAAUAAUAUUGUCCUCGAAUGAAGAGGAGCACUGACUGCUGAAAUCUGCAAUGCUACUGCUGCUUUGAAACUCGUGCCUCUAUACC
rnacentral:lncRNA from 1 species